rnacentral:sRNA from 12 species
ACAGAACGGACACAGUAGCUCCCACGGGAGUGAACCCAGUAUCUUUUACGGAAGGAGAGCCUGUUCCCGGCUAUAUGCCAAAAUAUGCCCUCCGAUGGGAUCAGCCGGACGCUGCUUGCAUGGCGGAUAAUGUGCGGUACUCCGUUUCAUGGCUGAAGCCCUACGCAGUUAGAACCCGCACCCGACAAUCAUACUGUACGGAGGGCAAUCCUUUUCUAUGACCAGC